CACGUACUCCCUCCGUUCGGAAUUACUUGUCUCGGAAAUGGAUGCAUCUAGACGUAUUUUAGUUCUAAAUACAUCCAUUUCCGAGACAAGUAAUUCCGAACGGAGGGAGUAGAUA
rnacentral:pre_miRNA from 1 species